rnacentral:tRNA from 1 species
GCGGGUGUGGCGGAAUUGGCAGACGCACCAGACUUAGGAUCUGGCGAGUUCGCUCAUGCAGGUUCAAGUCCUGUCACCCGCACCA